UCUUGCUCAGGGACACAUUGGUGGAUUUGAACCAAGGGCUCUCACACCAAAGGUGUACAAACAUAAAAUGUGAUCCAUGUUCUGCCUGGUUUCAUGAGAGCUGUGGUGAAGAGAAUGGUAUCUGUGAUGACGAUGGUUUAAUUUGCAAAGACUGUGUUUGAAAAAAACUUUCAUCACACACACACACACAAAUCAGUUAUCAGUUAUCAAUUUUGAAUAUGCAUUUUUGUAAUUUGCACAUUUUGUUCUAAAUAUAUUGUUCACACACACACACACACACACACACACACACACACAAACACACACGCAUACACACCCACACACACACACACAACUGACAUCAGUUCACUGACCUAUGUUGUUCCAAAAUUGACUUUUUUUAAUUGCACAUUUGAAUAUGUGGGUUUGCACCCAAAAUGUAUUUUUUUUUUAAUGGCACAUAUGGAUAUGUUUUUUUAAUGCAGUUUAAAUGUUAUGUGGCUAUAUAAGCAGUUGUUUUGAAAUUAAAAUUGAUGAUAAAUUACUAUUUCCCUUUGCAGUUUGAACGGACCAUUUUACCUGAACAGCUGGCCCAUUUUACCUUAAACUGCUCAUGCAAAAAAGUUGGCACAACUGAUGUUUCAAGAACUGUAGGGCCUUAAUAAUUAUAUUUUAUUACAUAAUUUCAACACAAAAUUAUCAAAAACAGUCAUUAUUAAUCAUAAAUACACAUGGAAUAGGCAUAUAUGGUAUUGUAUUAUUGUCCCAAACGAUUUACCAAAAAGUGGCCCAAUUUAGCUGAUAUCACCCUACUGAUGCUAUGGACUGUGGGAUUACUAACAGACUAUUAAAAAAAAUCUGUCUCUUUUUUUUCUUUAUUAAAAGUUGGUCUAGACAAGUACAUGAAUCAAAUGUUUUGCAAAUCCGCUCGAAAGAUCUGAUCUCAAAUGAUUCGCGACACGCGCUCCGAAGCCCCGAUCAAAUGAUUCGCGAAACGCGCUUCGGAGUCCCGAUCUGAAUCAAAUGUUUUGCGCACUCGCUCCGAAGCCCCGAUCAAAUGAUUCACGAAACGCGAUUCGAAGUCCCGAUCUGAAUCAAAUGUUUUGCGCACUCGCUCCGAAGCCCCGAUCAAAUGAUUCACGAAACGCGAUUCGGAGUCCCGAUCUGAAUCAAAUGUUUUGC
rnacentral:lncRNA from 1 species